ACUGCUCAGUAACACGUGGACAACCUGCCCUUAGGACGGGGAUAAACCCGGGAAACUGGGUAUAAUCCCCGAUAGGUCUCGACUGCUGGAAUGCAUUGAGAUCUAAAGCUCCGGCGCCUAAGGAUGGGUCUGCGGCCUAUCAGGGUUGUAGUGGGUGUAACGUACCUACUAGCCUACGACGGGCACGGGUUGUGAGAGCAAGAGCCCGGAGAUGGAUUCUGAGACACGAAUCCAGGCCCUACGGGGUGCAGCAGGCGCGAAAACUUUACAAUGCGGGAAACCGUGAUAAGGGAAUCUCGAGUGCCAGCAUAUAAUGUUGGCUGUCCAGAUGCCUAAAAAGCAUCUGUUAGCAAGGGCCGGGCAAGACCGGUGCCAGCAGCCGCGGUAAUAC
rnacentral:rRNA from 1 species